GGUGGAGGAACAAAUGGCGGUUUUUCAGCAACGCACUAACACAAUACACGUACAUAGUUGCGAGUCAUAAAAAUUAAUAGGAUUUUGAUAAUGGACCGCACAAACACUUACCACACGAUAAACACUUAACACUCGACAAACGAUAUUUACUCAAGAAUGAAUAACUAUUUUACAUAUUAAAGAAAAACUUGUUCAGAACCGUAGCACGUGUCGCGACAUUUCGAUGCGUAAGAAACCACCUGAACAGCGGAACAGAGGAGGGGUAUGAUAUAUGCGAACAUAGUGGCAAACUAAUGAAGCGCCACUAGUUGACGAUUUUGUUGUACUAAUGCACGCUUUACGAACACCCAUAGAUCAUCGCAUUAUUCUAACGAGUAGCAAAGAGCAGGUACAAGAGGCACUACGGGCGGUACUGUCGAUGUUCGACAAACUGUCACUUUAAAUUGUUUGUAUAGACGCGCGGGAAAUUUAAAUCAAAUAAAUAUAAUUUAUUGGCAACCUCUAAUAAUUCGAAAUCUAUUUGUCGUGAAUUUUCUGUAUAUUAUGAAUGUUGGCUUUCGAAGUAUUUAUAUCGAUUAUAUAAUGUUGAAAAGUGUAAAGAGAAUUUGAACGGUUGAAAAGAAUAGUUGACGAACUAUUUAUUACGAGAAAAUACGGAUGAGUGUAUUAGAGGAAACGGACGAGGUAUUUGUUACAAAUAAAUUACUGGUGAAUGUGUUAUAGGUCAAGAAGCAGUUAGAGGUAUCUUAAAUCGCAUCUAGGGAGUUGACUUCUGUUCUCGUGGGGAAACCGGAAAUGCCUAGAGGCUGCGAAUCGAGCAGGAAGCAUCCUAAUCACCGGACGAACGAACUUUUCACUGAUUAAUGCUAUAAUCGUGCUAAUUAGCUCUGCGUCUAGUAAGAAAGCUCAACUAUAAAUAUAUGGGGAACCACAGCAGCAGAGAUCAACUAUACAACGAUCGUCUACACAAGAUUUUCCGAAAAGCGCGAACCGGAAAAUGGCUCGUAACCGCGAGUAACUUGGAGGUCGUGGAAGAGGAAGACGAAGAGAACGAAGAGGAACAGAAGAUCGGUGGUUAAGCCGCUUUUUGCUAAGUGGAUGAGAAGCCAGGAGAACCGACCCGGUGAACCGAGGUCCCCGAGAACAGAACGGUACCCUGUGCCCUCUUCCUCCUCCUCCUCUUCCUUCUUAUCCCUCCUCCUCACAGAGUUCCUUCUUCUCCCGUCAUGCAGGCUACCGAGGACGAGGAGUCCGGUAGUGCCUUCAGGCUCUUUUCCGUAAAUUCCUGCUUACGUGUUUUUGACGUACUAUACCAUACAUGCGUGCCACUUGCAUCGGUUACGUCUGCAUCUACCGUUCCUUUCGAGAAUUCGAACAUAACCGAGUCUCCAUUACCUUUACGAUGGGCUACCUAACCUUACUUGGUUACAUCUUUUAUUUUCUAAUUUGCUUCUGGGCUGAAAAUACUUGGGACUUGUGGUGAUUAAACGUAACUUGGAUAAAUAGCUUAUUUAUCAAAUUUAAAAAUUUAAAAUAGUAA